rnacentral:rRNA from 1 species
UAACGCGUGGGCAACCUGCCCCAUACAGGGGGAUAACAGCCGGAAACGGCUGCUAAAACCGCAUAAGCGCACAAGGGCCGCAUGGCCUGGUGUGAAAAACUCCGGUGGUAUGGGAUGGACCCGCGUCUGAUUAGCUAGUUGGCGGGGGAGAGGCCCACCAAGGCGACGAUCAGUAGCCGACCUGAGAGGGUGGCCGGCCACAUUGGGACUGAGACACGGCCCAAACUCCUACGGGAGGCAGCAGUGGGGAAUAUUGCACAAUGGGGGAAACCCUGAUGCAGCGACGCCGCGUGAGCGAAGAAGUAUUUCGGUAUGUAAAGCUCUAUCAGCAGGGAAGAAAAAUGACGGUACCUGAGUAAGAAGCACCGGCUAAAUACGUGCCAGCAGCCGCGGUAAUACGUAUGGUGCAAGCGUUAUCCGGAUUUACUGGGUGUAAAGGGAGCGCAGGCGGUGCGGCAAGUCUGAUGUGAAAGCCCGGGGCUCAACCCCGGGACUGCAUUGGAAACUACCGAACUAGAGUGUCGGAGAGGUAAGUGGAAUUCCUAGUGUAGCGGUGAAAUGCGUAGAUAUUAGGAGGAACACCAGUGGCGAAGGCGGCUUACUGGACGAUAACUGACGCUGAGGCUCGAAAGCGUGGGGAGCAAACAGGAUUAGAUACCCUGGUAGU